rnacentral:rRNA from 1 species
CGGCGAACGGGUGAGUAACACGUGGGUGACCUGCCCCUUACUCUGGGAUAAGCCUGGGAAACUGGGUCUAAUACCGGAUAUGACUUCAUGCUGCAUGGUGUGGGUUGAAAGUUUUUCGGUGGGGAUGGGCCCGCGGCCUAUCAGCUUGUUGGUGGGGUGAUGGCCUACCAAGGCUUCGACGGGUAGCCGGCCUGAGAGGGCGUCCGGCCACACUGGGACUGAGACACGGCCCAG